GAUGAACGCUGGCGGCGUGCCUAAUACAUGCAAGUCGAGCGAACGGACGAGAAGCUUGCUUCUCUGAUGUUAGCGGCGGACGGGUGAGUAACACGUGGAUAACCUACCUAUAAGACUGGGAUAACUUCGGGAAACCGGAGCUAAUACCGGAUGAUAUUUUGAACCGCAUGGUUCAAAAGUGAAAGACGGUCUUGCUGUCACUUAUAGAUGGAUCCGCGCUGCAUUAGCUAGUUGGUAAGGUAACGGCUUACCAAGGCAACGAUGCAUAGCCGACCUGAGAGGGUGAUCGGCCACACUGGAACUGAGACACGGUCCAGACUCCUACGGGAGGCAGCAGUAGGGAAUCUUCCGCAAUGGGCGAAAGCCUGACGGAGCAACGCCGCGUGAGUGAUGAAGGUCUUCGGAUCGUAAAACUCUGUUAUUAGGGAAGAACAUAUGUGUAAGUAACUGUGCACAUCUUGACGGUACCUAAUCAGAAAGCCACGGCUAACUACGUGCCAGCAGCCGCGGUAAUACGUAGGUGGCAAGCGUUAUCCGGAAUUAUUGGGCGUAAAGCGCGCGUAGCGGUUUUUUAAGUCUGAUGUGAAAGCCCACGGCUCAACCGUGGAGGGUCAUUGGAAACUGGAAAACUUGAGUGCAGAAGAGGAAAGUGGAAUUCCAUGUGUAGCGGUGAAAUGCGCAGAGAUAUGGAGGAACACCAGUGGCGAAGGCGACUUUCUGGUCUGUAACUGACGCUGAUGUGCGAAAGCGUGGGGAUCAAACAGGAUUAGAUACCCUGGUAGUCCACGCCGUAAACGAUGAGUGCUAAGUGUUAGGGGGUUUCCGCCCCUUAGUGCUGCAGCUAACGCAUUAAGCACUCCGCCUGGGGAGUACGACCGCAAGGUUGAAACUCAAAGGAAUUGACGGGGACCCGCACAAGCGGUGGAGCAUGUGGUUUAAUUCGAAGCAACGCGAAGAACCUUACCAAAUCUUGACAUCCUUUGACAACUCUAGAGAUAGAGCCUUCCCCUUCGGGGGACAAAGUGACAGGUGGUGCAUGGUUGUCGUCAGCUCGUGUCGUGAGAUGUUGGGUUAAGUCCCGCAACGAGCGCAACCCUUAAGCUUAGUUGCCAUCAUUAAGUUGGGCACUCUAAGUUGACUGCCGGUGACAAACCGGAGGAAGGUGGGGAUGACGUCAAAUCAUCAUGCCCCUUAUGAUUUGGGCUACACACGUGCUACAAUGGACAAUACAAAGGGCAGCGAAACCGCGAGGUCAAGCAAAUCCCAUAAAGUUGUUCUCAGUUCGGAUUGUAGUCUGCAACUCGACUACAUGAAGCUGGAAUCGCUAGUAAUCGUAGAUCAGCAUGCUACGGUGAAUACGUUCCCGGGUCU
rnacentral:rRNA from 1 species